rnacentral:rRNA from 1 species
UCCGUAGCCGGCUUAGCAAGUCUCCUGUUAAAUUCAGCGACCUAAUCGUUGAGCCGCGGGAGACACUACUAGGCUAGGAGGCGGGAGAGGCCGACGGUAUUCUCGGGGUAGGGGUGAAAUCCUAUAAUCCCGGGAGGACCACCAGUGGCGAAGGCUGUCGGCUAGAACGCGCUCGACGGUGAGGGACGAAAGCUGGGGGAGCGAACAGGAUUAGAUACCCUGGUAGUCC